UGGGGAAUUUUGGACAAUGGGCGAAAGCCUGAUCCAGCAAUGCCGCGUGCAGGAUGAAGGCCUUCGGGUUGUAAACUGCUUUUGUACGGAACGAAAAGGCUCUGGUUAAUACCUGGGGAUCAUGACGUACCGACGAUAGCC
rnacentral:rRNA from 1 species